rnacentral:rRNA from 8 species
CCUGGCGGCUGUAGCGCGGUGGUCCCACCUGACCCCAUGCCGAACUCAGAAGUGAAACGCCGUAGCGCCGAUGGUAGUGUGGGGUCUCCCCAUGCGAGAGUAGGGAACUGCCAGGU